CAGGUGGGCCCCCCACCGGCCCUGCCAGUCCCAUCCGAUUUCCCGGGCCGCCACUAGGUCCAGCUGAUGGUUUGCAGUUUCCGACGAAGAAUUUCCUAGGGCGGAGAUACAAGGAGAGGCCAGACCUCUGGGGGCGGCGGAGGGAGACUCGGGCGCGGGGUUCCCUUAAAGGGCGGGGCAGAAGGGCCGACCCGGGCCCCCAGCAGAGGCCGGGCCAGUCCCGCCCUCACCCGAGCGUCUGGGCUUCCUUCCUUUCAAGGGGAGCGUGCGCUUCCCGCCCGCCUCGUUCAGGUGACGUGCAGGUCCCGGCCACAGGCAUUUUCACUCCGUGAUUCACUUCUUGAGCCCCAAAGGGCUCUAGCCUGUUGCAGACCAGCUUCGGCGUUUGUGGAGCUCCAGGUCAGAGCGUUAUUUGAGAAGCUUCUCUCUGCAUUUGGAAAUAUGGGCUCUCUGCCUCCGAGCUGCCUGAUUCCUGGGAAAAGCUUUCCUAUACCUUCCCUUUAUCAGAGCCCAAGGAUCAGAAAUGGGAUGGAAGGUUUGCAAUAUGUGGAAGAAUUUCCCCUGUGAGGCUGGGCAGCCGCAAGGAGCUCAGGGCUCUCUGAUCUCAAGGGCAUGUGAGCACCCUCUACAGACUGGUUUUCCUUUCAGUCCGGUAUUCAGCAAACAACACCACGAGGUGUCCAGCCCGCUGUUCUAAGCUGGCCUUUGUGUUGGCUGUUACGGUUUUGCACGACUGUAGGCAAAGGAUAUUUUCAGCUUCAUGAGGUGUUUUCCCAGGAGAUCCCCAAGGGAAGCAAAGGCAGUCUGCGCCCAGAGUGGACAUGCAUGGAUGCUAUUCUUCUCAUCGUUGAGGUGUUAAGUAAUUGGAUGAGGGCAAAGCCGGAGGAAUGUCUGCUCCCCGGCUCCGAGGAACGUUGAGGAAAGACAAAUUCAUUUCGGAGAGUGACCUGGACGGCACGAUGACAGCCGCGCUCACACGUGAAGCCAGAUCUAAGCGCGUGCACUGCUGAGCGCAGUCUCCUCCCAUCGCAGAGUUUAUCCCAAGCUAAACACAAUAACAACGGCUCAGGGAGCCAGGCGGGAAGGAGCUCCAGCCUGGGUUUUGAUCCCCUUCCAAAAGCAACUCAGACAACUUGAGCUUAAGCCUUCCUAUCACGCAGCGCAUGAACCCUACAAUCCUAGGUGUUUAAUAUUAAUAAUAGUUUGUAAAACACCUUGGUAAGCAGAAGAGGAGGGUAAGCCCCUCUGUGGAAGCGCUGAGACCACAGCAGCAUCCUGGAUCCUCCCGCUCUCGCCAACUCCUUCCCACCUGGGCUGCAGGCAUGGCCGCCCCGUGUCCCAGAGCCCCUGAAAUGGCCGGCGGGGUUCCCUCCCAGAGAAGACACCACAUAGAAGAAGGGGCUGUUUGGGGGGAAUAUUUUGUCAGUCCGGCUAAUUGAAAUGUGCGAUACCCUCUGAGAGCAAGAGGCCGAACUCUCAGCGGCUCCCAUCGGAGGAGAUAAAACCUAAUGGUUUGGCCUCCCAAACCUAACUUCUCUCUCAGCUUUACAGCUCAGAAGGGAGGUGGACCCUUUGGAAGGAAUCCAAAUGGAAGGAAGAUAAAGGCAAGUUUCUUGAAGAAAGGCACAAGUGUUGGUACUGCUUAGUGUAACUCCUGAAAGGGUAACUUGCAGUUCACAAAUAUUAUUACAGCAGACAGUGAGAACAGAAUGGGGAGGGACAGGGCCAGAACUGCCCACACAGCCCGCGUGUGAUGGGCUUAGGAGGCAGAGGAAAUGAGAAGUCUGCUGUGGAGGAAGGAGCAGUGGCCCACAUGGCUACUCACUCAUUCAUUCACUCAGCCAGGUUUGCUGAUCAUGACUAUGUGCCAGUCUAGAAAGUGUGACUUUGAUGUAGUUGGGGUUUUCUGGGAUGUGUAGUCUAGGGGGGAUGGGACUCUCUGGGUUGGUCACAGGGAUGGCUGUGAGAAUCACAGGAACAUUCUGAUAACCUGGGGACCUGCAGCAGGGCCAGGACAGGGGAAUCUGGGCAGUUGUGACUCCUCGUUGGAAGAUACCAGGCCUUCCUGAGUAGGUUGAUGAGCUGUUAGCAGACAUUCCAGUUGACUUUCCAGCUUCCAGUCAGAAAGAAAUUACACUGGGAAGGAAGGAUGUAGUUAUAAGGGUACAUUUGAUUGCUUUGGGUGGUAGGGGAUUGGAGAGCAGAAACCUAGCAAACAGCUGUGGUCACCUUGGCGUGAGGGUCUUCUGAGAUCCAGUGGGGCACCUGUGGGCAUGUGGGGGAAAGCAAGGGGUGGGUAAGCCAUGUGUGGAGAGGGAA